rnacentral:rRNA from 1 species
UUGUGUAGUGCGAUGUGGGGACGGAUCUUAAUAGGUCAUCCGGGUGUUGGAUAUCCCGGUUUAGGCAGAUGUAGGCGACAGGUAGGCAAAUCCGCCUGUCAUAUACCGAGGCUGCCGAUCGAGCGAGCUUGCUCGCGAAGUGAUUGAACGAGGUUCCAGGAAAAGCCACUAAGCUUCAGCUACACACGACCGUACCGCAAACCGACACUGGUGCGCGAGAUGAGUAUUCUAAGGCGCUUGAGAGAACUCGGGAGAAGGAACUCGGCAAAUUGACACCGUAACUUCGGAAGAAGGUGUGCCCUAUUAGUGUGAAGUGAACAACGGAGCAUGAAUGGGUUGCAAAAAAUCGGUGGCUGCGACUGUUUAUUAAAAACACAGCACUCUGCAAACACGAAAGUGGACGUAUAGGGUGUGACGCCUGCCCGGUGCUGGAAGAUUAAAUGAUGGGGUGCAAGCUCUUGAUUGAAGUCCCAGUAAACGGCGGCCGUAACUAUAACGGUCCUAAGGUAGCGAAAUUCCUUGUCGGGUAAGUUCCGACCUGCACGAAUGGCGUAACGAUGGCCACACUGUCUCCUCCCGAGACUCAGCGAAGUUGAAAUGUUUGUGAUGAUGCAAUCUCCCCGCGGAAAGACGGAAAGACCCCAUGAACCUUUACUGUAGCUUUGUAUUGGACUUUGAACAGAUCUGUGUAGGAUAGGUGGGAGGCUUUGAAGCAGGGUCGCUAGAUCUUGUGGAGCCAACGUUGAAAUACCACCCUGGUGUGUUUGAGGUUCUAACCUAGGUCCAUUAUCUGGAUCGGGGACAGUGCAUGGUAGGCAGUUUGACUGGGGCGGUCUCCUCCCAAAGCGUAACGGAGGAGUUCGAAGGUACGCUAGUUACGGUCGGACAUCGUGACGAUAGUGCAAUGGCAUAAGCGUGCUUAACUGCGAGACUGACAAGUCGAGCAGAUGCGAAAGCAGGACAUAGUGAUCCGGUGGUUCUGUAUGGAAGGGCCAUCGCUCAACGGAUAAAAGGUACUCUGGGGAUAACAGGCUGAUACCGCCCAAGAGUUCAUAUCGACGGCGGUGUUUGGCACCUCAAUGUCGGCUCAUCUCAUCCUGGGGCUGUAGCCGGUCCCAAGGGUAUGGCUGUUCGCCAUUUAAAGAGGUACGUGAGCUGGGUUUAAAACGUCGUGAGACAGUUUGGUCCCUAUCUUCCGUGGGCGCUGCAGAUUUGAGGAAGCCUGCUCCUAGUACGAGAGGACCGGAGUGGACGCACCUCUGGUGUAUCGGUUGUCACGCCAGUGGCAUUGCCGAGUAGCUAUGUGCGGAAGAGAUAACCGCUGAAAGCAUCUAAGCGGGAAACUCGUUCCAAGAUGAGAUCUGCCGGGGCCUUGAGCCCCCUAAAGAGUCGUUCAAGACCAGGACGUUGAUAGGUCGGGUGUGGAAGCGCAGUAAUGCGUUAAGCUAACCGAUACUAAUUGCUCGUGCGGCUUGACCCC